rnacentral:rRNA from 1 species
GAGUUUGAUCAUGGCUCAGAUUGAACGCUGGCGGCAUGCCUUACACAUGCAAGUCGAACGGCAGCACGGGAGCUUGCUCCUGGUGGCGAGUGGCGAACCGGGUGAGUAAUGCAUCGGAACGUAUCCUGGAGUGGGGGAUAACGUAGCGAAAGUUACGCUAAUACCGCAUAUUCUGUGAGCAGGAAAGCGGGGGACCUUCGGGCCUCGCGCUCUUGGAGCGGCCGAUGUCGGAUUAGCUAGUUGGUGAGGUAAAGGCUCACCAAGGCGACGAUCCGUAGCAGGUCUGAGAGGAUGAUCUGCCACACUGGAACUGAGACACGGUCCAGGCUCCUAC